rnacentral:rRNA from 1 species
CAAUAGCGUAUAUUAAAGUUGUUGCGGUUAAAAAGCUCGUAGUUGGAGUUCUGCCAGGUGCCGCCUGUCCGCCCCAGUGGUGAGUACGUGGCGCGCAUUUGGCCCUUUCAAGGGGAGCGUAUCUGCACUUUAUUGUGUGGUGCGGGAUCCUUGACUUUUACUUUGAGGAAAUAGGAGUGUUCCAAGCAGGCUCUCGUCGUGCACAGCUCAGCAUGGAAUAAUAGCAUUGGACCUCGAUUCUAAGCUGUUGGUUGCCAGAAGCGAGGUAAUGAUGAAGAGGGAUAGUUGGGGGCAUUUGUAUUUCGGCGCUAGAGGUGAAAUUCUUAGAUUGCCGAAAGACAAACUGCUGCGAAAGCGUCUGCCAAGGAUGUUUUCAUUGA